rnacentral:rRNA from 1 species
CCUACGGGUGGCAGCAGUAGGGAAUUUUCGGCAAUGGGGGGAACCCUGACCGAGCAACGCCGCGUGAACGAAGAAGUUAUUCGUAAUGUAAAGUUCUUUUAACAGGGAAGAAAGAGAAAUUUGACGGUACCUGAAGAAUAAGCUCCGGCUAACUACGUGCCAGCAGCCGCGGUAAUACGUAGGGAGCGAGCGUUAUCCGGAAUUAUUGGGCGUAAAGGGUGCGUAGAUGGCGUAGUAAGUCUUUUGUAAAAAUGCUGGGCUCAACCCAGUAGGGCAAAAGAUACUGCAAAGCUAGAGUAUGACAGAGGCAAGUGGAACUACAUGUGUAGCGGUAAAAUGCGUAAAUAUAUGUAAGAACACCAGUGGCGAAGGCGGCUUGCUGGACUGUAACUGACGCUGAGGCAUGAGAGCAUGGGGAGCAAACAGGAUUAGAUACCCUUGUAGUC